rnacentral:rRNA from 1 species
UACGUAGGUGGCAAGCGUUGUCCGGAUUUACUGGGCGUAAAGCGUGCGCAGGCGGCUUUGCAAGACAGAUGUGAAAUCCCCGGGCUUAACCUGGGAACUGCAUUUGUGACUGCAUGGCUGGAGUGCGGCAGAGGGGGAUGGAAUUCCGCGUGUAGCAGUGAAAUGCGUAGAUAUGCGGAGGAACACCGAUGGCGAAGGCAAUCCCCUGGGCCUGCACUGACGCUCAUGCACGAAAGCGUGGGGAGCAAACAGG